rnacentral:rRNA from 1 species
GAUGAACGCUGGCGGCGUGCUUAACACAUGCAAGUCGAACGGAAAGGCCAAGCUUGCUUGGGUACUCGAGUGGCGAACGGGUGAGUAACACGUGGGUGAUCUGCCCUGCACUUCGGGAUAAGCCUGGGAAACUGGGUCUAAUACCGGAUAGGACCACAUUUUGGAUGGUGUGGUGGAAAGUUUUUCGGUGUGGGAUGAGCUCGCGGCCUAUCAGCUUGUUGGUGGGGUAAUGGCCUACCAAGGCGUCGACGGGUAGCCGGCCUGAGAGGGUGUACGGCCACAUUGGGACUGAGAUACGGCCCAGACUCCUACGGGAGGCAGCAGUGGGGAAUAUUGCACAAUGGGCGCAAGCCUGAUGCAGCGACGCCGCGUGGGGGAUGACGGCCUUCGGGUUGUAAACUCCUUUCGCUAGGGACGAAGCGCAAGUGACGGUACCUGGAGAAGAAGCACCGGCUAACUACGUG